AUCAUAGCCAUAGUAUCAUAGCCGAUGAGGUUAAUCCGAGGCGUGAUUAUUGCUUGUUGAAAUCUGUUAGGGUGAGAGAGUGCUUGAUUCAAAUCCUGCUUAGUCUGUUUAAGUUAGAAUUCAGACCUCAAAUUUAUUUAUAUUUCUUCGGUAA
rnacentral:snRNA from 1 species